UGAACGCUGGCGGCAGGCCUAACACAUGCAAGUCGAGCGGUAACAUUUCUAGCUUGCUAGAAGAUGACGAGCGGCGGACGGGUGAGUAAUGCUUGGGAAUAUGCCUUAGGGUGGGGGACAACAGUUGGAAACGACUGCUAAUACCGCAUAACGUCUACGGACCAAAGGGGGCUUCGGCUCUCGCCCUUAGAUUAGCCCAAGUGGGAUUAGCUAGUUGGUGAGGUAAUGGCUCACCAAGGCGACGAUCCCUAGCUGGUUUGAGAGGAUGAUCAGCCACACUGGAACUGAGACACGGUCCAGACUCCUACGGGAGGCAGCAGUGGGGAAUAUUGCACAAUGGGCGCAAGCCUGAUGCAGCCAUGCCGCGUGUGUGAAGAAGGCCUUAGGGUUGUAAAGCACUUUCAGUAAGGAGGAAAGGUUAGUAGUUAAUACCUGCUAGCUGUGACGUUACUUACAGAAGAAGCACCGGCUAACUCCGUGCCAGCAGCCGCGGUAAUACGGAGGGUGCGAGCGUUAAUCGGAAUUACUGGGCGUAAAGCGUACGCAGGCGGUUUGUUAAGCGAGAUGUGAAAGCCCCGGGCUCAACCUGGGAACUGCAUUUCGAACUGGCAAACUAGAGUAUGAUAGAGGGUGGUAGAAUUUCAGGUGUAGCGGUGAAAUGCGUAGAGAUCUGAAGGAAUACCGAUGGCGAAGGCAGCCACCUGGGUCAAUACUGACGCUCAUGUACGAAAGCGUGGGGAGCAAACGGGAUUAGAUACCCCGGUAGUCCACGCCGUAAACGAUGUCUACUAGGAGCUGGGGUCUUCGGACAACUUUUCCAAAGCUAACGCAUUAAGUAGACCGCCUGGGGAGUACGGCCGCAAGGUUAAAACUCAAAUGAAUUGACGGGGGCCCGCACAAGCGGUGGAGCAU
rnacentral:rRNA from 1 species